AGAGUUUGAUCAUGGCUCAGAACGUACGCUGGCGGCACGCCUAACACAUGCAAGUCGAACGAAGUAGCAAUACUUAGUGGCAGACGGGUGAGUAACAUGUGGGUAUCUGCCCUUUGGCCUGGAAUAACACGAGGAAACUUGUGCUAAUACCGGAUAAGUCUUUACGGAGAAAGCUUUAUGCACCAUUGGAUGAGCCCGCACUUGAUUAGUUUGUUGGUGGGGUAAUGGCCUACCAAGACUGUGAUCAAUAGCUGAUUUGAGAGGAUGAUCAGCCACAUUGGGACUGAGACACGGCCCAAACUCCUACGGGAGGCAGCAGUGGGGAAUCUUGCACAAUGGAGGAAACUCUGAUGCAGCGAUGCCGCGUGAGUGAAGAAGGCCCUUGGGUUGUAAAGCUCUUUCGUCGGGGAAGAAAAUGACUGUACCCGAAUAAGAAGGUCCGGCUAACUUCGUGCCAGCAGCCGCGGUAAUACGAAGGGACCUAGCGUAGUUCGGAAUUACUGGGCUUAAAGAGUUCGUAGGUGGUUGAAAAAGUUAGUGGUGAAAUCCCAGAGCUUAACUCUGGAACUGCCAUUAAAACUUUUCAGCUAGAGUAUGAUAGAGGAAAGCAGAAUUUCUAGUGUAGAGGUGAAAUUCGUAGAUAUUAGAAAGAAUACCAAUUGCGAAGGCAGCUUUCUGGAUCAUUACUGACACUGAGGAACGAAAGCAUGGGUAGCGAAGAGGAUUAGAUACCCUCGUAGUCCAUGCCGUAAACGAUGUGUGUUAGACGUUGGAAAUUUAUUUUCAGUGUCGCAGCGAAAGCGAUAAACACACCGCCUGGGGAGUACGACCGCAAGGUUAAAACUCAAAUGAAUUGACGGGGACCCGCACAAGUAGUGGAGCAUGUGGUUUAAUUCGAAGAUACGCGCAGAACCUUACCAACACUUGACAUGUUCGUCGCGACUCUAAGAGAUUAGAGUUUUCGGUUCGGCCGGACGAAACACAGGUGCUGCAUGGCUGUCGUCAGCUCGUGUCGUGAGAUGUUGGGUUAAGUCCCGCAACGAGCGCAACCCUCACUUUUAGUUGCCAUCAUUAAGUUGGGCACUCUGAAAGAACUGCCAGUGAUAAGCUGGAGGAAGGUGGGGAUGACGUCAAGUCCUCAUGGCCCUUACGUGUUGGGCUACACACGUGCUACAAUGGUAUCUACAACAGGAAGCAAGACUGCGAGGUCAAGCAAAUCCUUAAAAGAUACCUCAGUUCGGAUUGCACUCUGCAACUCGAGUGCAUGAAGCUGGAAUUACUAGUAAUCGUGGAUCAGCGUGCCACGGUGAAUGCGUUCCCGGGUCUUGUACACACCGCCCGUCACACCAUGGGAGUUGGUUCUACCUUAAGGCAAGGUUUCAAACCCUUGACCACGGUAUAGUCAGCGACUGGGGUGAAGUCAUAACAAGGUAGCC
rnacentral:rRNA from 1 species